AGCAGCCGCGGUAAUUCCAGCUCCAAUAGCGUAUAUUAAAGUUGUUGCAGUUAAAAAGCUCGUAGUUGAACUUCGGAAUUUGCCCAUUGGUCAGGCAGAACUGUCUGCACUGGUGUGACGAGUUCCUACCUUCUGAGGAAUCUUCGUGCCAUUCAGUUGGUGUGGGGGGAAAUCAGGACUGUUACUUUGAAAAAAAUUAGAGUGUUUAAAGUAGCAUCCGCUGAAUACAUUAGCAUGGAAUAAUAAAAUAGGACGGUUUGGUUCUAUUUUGUUGGUUUCUAGGAUCACCGUAAUGAUUAAUAGGGAUAGUUGGGGGCAUUAGUAUUCAAUUGUCAGAGGUGAAAUUCUUGGAUUUAUUGAAGACUAAUACUGCGAAAGCAUUUGCCAAAGAUGUUUUCAUUAA
rnacentral:rRNA from 1 species